UCAAUUGCAGGAAUUCGAGCCUGACUGUCUAAAGUAGCAAAAGAUGCCAUGACAGCAGGCCAAUGGGUGCUUUUUGAAAAGAGGGCGCCUUCCAUAUUUGAAAAGAAUAUCCGCAGACAUCGAU
rnacentral:ncRNA from 2 species